rfam:Ciona intestinalis ciona0678, whole genome shotgun sequence.
GUCGUCGUGGCCGAGUGGUUAAGGCGACAGAAUCGAAAUCUGUUGGGCUCUGCCCGCACAGGUUCGAAUCCUGUCGGCGACG